rnacentral:lncRNA from 1 species
AAGAAAAAUUUGUUCAGCAUAUGAGUGGUAGAUACGACCAAAGCUACAUCUCUCAGCAAGUCAGUGCUCCAGCUUAAGCAACAAGAAAAAAAAAAGCUCUAUAUAGAACUGUGACAAACAUAGUUACUGCAUGGAACUAAGAAAAUGAUGUUUGUAGCGUGUAGAAGCUAGAAAAGAAAGAUGAAAUCAAUUUAAACUUUUUCAAAACCAAUAGCUAGACUGAGACUGUUCAGUCCUGAAUAUAUAUGUGUACAUAUGUGUAUGUACACAUAUAUACAAACAUUGGGUUCUCAUUUUGUUUUGGAAAGGUGAAGCUGGUCACCCCCAGAGUUAAUGGGAAAAUAUGUGGGAUUAGAAAUUGUGCCCCAGUAUUCUGGGACUCCUGCCCAAGCCACAGUGAUGGCUUUUCCCCUCUUAUGAUUGCUGCUGUACUGAAAUUUACCAUCAGUCAGCCAUAGAACAGAGCAACUCCCAAGGUUCCAGCUACUACAGUGACUCAUUUGGUGUGUCAUCAUUCCCUGGAGAAUGGAGGUACCACAUCAAAUCAUGGCCCAUCCUAAAGUCUAGUGCCACUGAAAUUUACAGCCACAGAACUGAAUUAAUCAAGAGGAACAACAACAACAAGAGUUCUCUUCCAAAAUGAUAGCUUUUUUGUAGCUCUGAAAUGAGAGGAACCCAAUCCAGAAGAAUCCACAGAAGGAGGAAAAGCCAGCAGAAAGGCAGCAGAUUAGACACAAAAUUGUAAUUUUAAAGGACUGCUAAUGAUCAGCAAAUAGCCAAAGGCAGAGGAGUCAAUCCAAGAUCUCUUCGGUUCUUUCCUAAUCAGAACACAGAUUUACAAAGAUGACACAACUGUCCGGAGGUCACACUGAAAUUAUAGACAGAGCUGGAGUUCUGAUUUCUGAAAGUCCUAUUCUCAGUCACUAUGCUAAAUGAGCCUCUAAGGUUCUAUGCUUGUUUUCUUCUUUUAUCAUUUGUCCAAUCAGGAUAGGUUAUUUUGUUGAAAUUUUGUGAGGGAAAAAAAAUUUAUUUUAUUUGGUGGAACGGUUUUUAAUUGGAGAUGGGAGUGGUCUCAGCCCUUUAAAAAUAAAAGAAUGAGGUGAGGGCAAGAAGGGGGUUGUUAUAGGAGAAGGGCCCUAGGCUGGAGGUACAGAGCAAGGUCAAGGGGACCCUGACAGCUGCAGAGUGAAUAGCAUCUUUGCAGUCUAUGAGCUUACAGAUAGAGAAGAUGCAAUUUAGGGUAGGAGAGGUGGUUUUUAUUUCUUAAAAAGUAGUCUUUCUUGGACAGGGACAUACCAGGGAUACAACAGCCCUUUUAAUCCGGAAGAACGAGGGGCUGAAGGAAAUAAAAAGUAAGCCUGAACCAGACCAGAGAAUUAAAAUGGUAUGCGUUUAAGUUUGGUUUAUUUAAAUAUUUGCUCUAAGAAUAUGAAGUUGCCUAUAAAUAGAAAAAAGAUAACAGAAUGGCUGUUUUCUU